rnacentral:rRNA from 1 species
UACGUAGGUGGCAAGCGUUGUCCGGAAUUAUUGGGCGUAAAGCGCGCGCAGGUGGCUCCUUAAGUCUGAUGUGAAAGCCCACGGCUCAACCGUGGAAGGUCAUUGGAAGCUGGGGAACUUGAGUACAGAAGAGGAAAGUGGAAUUCCAAGUGUAGCGGUGAAAUGCGUAGAUAUUUGGAGGAACACCAGUGGCGAAGGCGACUUUCUGGUCUGUAACUGACACUGAGGCGCGAAAGCGUGGGGAGCAAACAGG